UUUCCCUCUGGUGCCGUCUUCUGACAAAGCUAACGAUGUGCUGACUGCAAGGGAGAAAUGCCUGCAGGGUCCAGCCCACUACCACAGAGCAGGAUGCCUGCCACAGCACGGGUCCACAAACGGUGUGUAGAUGCGUACCAAGGAUCCAAACUGGCGAACCCCAGGCCACCGAAGCAGAAUGUGCAACCUUAACUGCUGUGCCACUGGGCUGGUCCCAACCCUAUGGGAUUUUUAACUGGAGUUGCACUUAAUUUAUAGGUUGACUUGGAGAGAAUGGACAUAUUUAAUAUUGCAUCUUCUGAUCCAUGAACAUACUAUAUGGCUCCAGAGAGUCAGGUCUUUUAUGCGCAUUCCUUGUUGUGACACUUGCAGACUGUCAUUUAAGGCUGCCAAUGAUUUCAUUGUACAGGAAGUACUGUAAUCAUUUUAGUGAAAUUCCUAUAACUUAACACUUAGGGUUGUCCUUUCUUCCCCCGUCACAAACAACACCUGCAGUGUACACAGACCUUUGCACCCUUUGUUCUCAUCCCUUUAUUUCCUUAACAAAUGAGUGCGAGUGUGCCAUGCCACUUCUUUCUCUCUGGCCUGACAAUCACAAACAGACAUACUUAUAUAAUAUGUAGAAUUUGUUUGUUUCUCCCAAAAUUGGACCACAGAAUAUCAUAUCUUAAGGGAACCUCUCUAACUCAUUAGAUCUAGACCGAGUCCUUUUAAAUGCUGCAUGACAUUCCAAGGUGCAGCUGUCCGCCAAUUAAACAGCCAUUCCUAUAAAGGUGGCAUUCAGGUUUUUGUUUUUUUUUUUUAAAGAUAUUAGUUUUCCUUUUUCUCCCCAAAGCCCCCUGGUACAUAGUUGUAUAUUUUUAGUUGUGGGUCCUUCUAGUUGUGGUAUGUGGGAUGCCACCUCAGCAUGGCUCGAUGAGCAGUGCCAUGUCCAUGCCCAGGAUUCGAACCUGCGAAUCCCUGGGCCACUGAAGCAGAGCGUGCGAACUUCACCACUCAGCCAGGGGGCCGGUCCCCCAGGUGUUUUUCUUUUUUAAGUUGGGUCUUUUCUUGCUUCUAAACCAGGUCGCAGUUAGCAUCCCUGAAUACAUCCUUUUGUACUGAUGUAUUUCAAUAGGAUACAGUCCAAGAAAUGUUGCUAGAUUGGAGAGUCAGUUAACCUAAAAAUGUUAACAGGUACCACCAGUUUGCUUUCCCAAAGGCUGCAGCAGGUCACAGUCCACUGUCAAUGCCAGCAAGGAGUUUUGCUGCCAUUACAAUUUUCUGCCACCUGGUCAGGUAGAGUCACAGCUCAUGGCCACUUUAAAUCCCAUGUCUAGGCUUCAAGUGACAGGGACAUUGGUUGUUCCUCCUUGUGACUUGUCCAUUUGUGUUUUGCCAAUUUUCUUUGAACAUUUGCUUUGUUCUUAUCAAUUUAUGGGAGUUCUUUAUCUUUUUUUGGAUAUUAACCGUGGUGUAUGUACAGAUUUGUUGCAGACUCUUUUGAUCUUGUUUAUGUAUCUCUUUGCUAUACAGAAAUCAGAGUUUAUGUAGUCACAUGAGAUUAUCCCAGCUUCAUAAAAUAACUAGAUGGAUUUCUGUAUCCCUUGG
ensembl:lncRNA